ACUCCUACGGGAGGCAGCAGUGGGAAUAUUGGACAAUGGGGCAACCCGUGAUCCAGCCAUGCCGCGUGAGUGAUGAAGGCCUUAGGGUUGUAAAGCUCUUUCAGCGAGGAGGAUAAUGACGUUACUCGCAGAAGAAGCCCCGCUAACUUCGUGCCAGCAGCCGCGGUAAUACGAAGGGGCGUAGCGUUGUUCGGAAUCACUGGGCGUAAAGCGCACGUAGGCGGAUUGAUAAGUUAGGGGUGAAAUCCCGGGGCUCAACCUCGGAACUGCCUUUGAUACUGUCAGUCUUGAGUCCGAGAGAGGUGAGUGGAACUCCGAGUGUAGAGGUGAAAUUCGUAGAUAUUCGGAAGAACACCAGUGGCGAAGGCGGCUCACUGGCUCGGUACUGACGCUGAGGUGCGAAAGCGUGGGGAGCAAACAGGAUUAGAUACCCCGGUAGGC
rnacentral:rRNA from 1 species